rnacentral:rRNA from 1 species
UACCGGCUCUCCGAGUUGUAGGGACGAUUAUUGGGCUUAAAGCGUCCGUAGCUGGCUUAGCAAGUCCCCUGUUAAAUUCAGCGACCUAAUCGUUGAGCCGCGGGGAGAUACUACUAGGCUAGGGAGGCGGGAGAGGUCGACGGUACUUUCGGGGUAGGGGUGAAAUCCUAUAAUCCCGAGAGGACCACCAGUGGCGAAGGCUGUCGACUAGAACGCGCUCGACGGUGAGGGACGAAAGCCUGGGGGUAGCGAACCGGGUUAGAUACCCCGGGUAGUCCCAGCUGUAAACUAUGCGGGCUAGGUGUUGGGGUGGCUACGGGGCCACUUCAGUGCCGCAGGAAGCCAUUAAGCCGCCGCUGGGGAGUACGGCCGCAAGGCUGAAACUUAAAGGAAGUUGGCGGGGGAGCACCACAAGGCGUGAAGCUUGCGGUUC